ACUCCCUGCCGAUGUUCCUUCUGGGAAAGGUCACCCAGGCUCUGGAUGCAACCGACUAGGCAGAAACAAGCCCCGAGAAGGGGCAGGGUGUGCAGCUGCGUGGACACCCUCUGCACACUUAUUUGCUAUUAUAGCCUAUAGUCUGAAGACCUUCCUACCUGCCAUUAAACCACAGAACCUCCUCAAGAAGCUUAUCGUUCAGAGGAGCUCGGGUAAAGCCCAGGCAGUUAACAGCCCCCAUGUCAGAUGGUUCCAGAGACUCUGAUGAAAAAACCACUUACAGAGGCACCAUGCUGGGCACCAGAGAUGCAGAUAUAAAUGACAGCACUGCCCCAGGAGAGCAAAAGGUCAUCAGAAAAGAGACACGGCGAGGCAGAGUAAGUUGCGUUGGGCCUGGGUUUUGGAUUCACAGCAAAUAGGCUUGAAAACUGAGGUGACCACGAACAGCACAUGGCUCGAGCAUUGUGAACGGGCCAGCCCGACACGGAUCUCCCAGGGGCGGGCUCGCCGCGGUGGCAGGACCACUGAGCUCUGAAUGGCACUCUUCAGGGACUGCGGUCCUUUCCUACUGCUGUUGUAGCUAAUUAGCAGACACUCGUGGCUCCAACAACACAACCGUAUCGCUUUACAGUGCUGGAGGACCCUGUCUUGGCCCUGACAUUGGCGCUCCCUGGAUAACCCCGGAUACUCCUUUCUUAAGGUCGGCUGAUCAACAACCUGCUGUAAAUCCCAUCUGCCACCUUCAUCCCCUUUGCAACAUAUUCGCAGGUUCUGGGGAUCAGGCGUGGACGUCGCUGGGCCAUUAUUUUGUGUAUGGCAAGGAGCGACUCCUGGCCUGCUCUACCCACUUCACGUGUGCUCAGGGCUUGGUCUCUUGGGUGGGCUUGUUUUGUCUGUCACAUUUGAACCACUCCGACCUGGACAGUUGAAAGGCAUUAAGCACAUUCACACUGCUGUACAACCAUCACCCCAUCCAUUCUCUGGAACUUUUUUCUUCUUGCAAAACCAAACUCUGGAUCCAUUAAAUAGUAACUGCCCACCAGUCUACUCUCCAUGAAUCUGACAACUCCAGAUUUCUCACAGGAAGAGAGUUAGACCGCAUUUAUCCUCCUGCGAUGGGCUUAUUUCACUUAGCACAAUGUCCUCCCAGUUCACGUUGGCUGUCGCACGCUGGUCUCUUGAUUUUGAGACAACCUCCACCCUCCAGAUUCCGUUCAGCCACCCCAAAGUUGACCCUGCAGGAGGUCCCCACCAGCAGCAGCAUUUCAGGCUAGAAGUGUGCAAACAGGUGGCCUAGAGGUUUGAAAAAAAUGCAGUGUGGUGUGAUGUGAUGGUGGGGGGGUGGUUUAGAGGGCUGUUCUGGGGUCGCUGAGCACUGGGUUCCUGUCCCUUCUCAGCCAGUCAUACGCUGCAAUCAUCAGCCAGUACCUACGAUGUGCGGGUCUCCACGUGAAGCAUGGGGGGCACGGAAGCUGCUCCGCACAGUGCCAACCACGAAGUAAGAAUUCAGCAAAGGCGAGUUCCAAAAGGGGGUCGAGGGAGGGGCAGAGUCCAGUGGAGAACCUAGAAGGUUCCACCUGAGCUUCCCGUUAGGAGCCUCAGGGAGCUAUGGUAGGGAUCUCUGAAUCCUGGCAGAAGAACAUGCACAAAAUUAUAGCAGCAUUUCCUAAGGCAUCAGAAGAGGCUGGGGACACGCCUUUAAAGGUUGGCCAGGAAGCAGAACCAAGAGUGACAUGCAUGUGGGAAAGGAGGCUGGGAGGCCAAGGUUCACCUUUCAAGGCUGAUGGGCUUUCCCUAAUCCUGAUUUUUUUUAUCUCCUCCUCCAGGAAGCCUUCAGUGAUUAAACCUACAGAACUCUAGUGACUUCACUAGACUUUCCCUCAGUAGAGCAAGAGGCAGCUGCCUUGACCACCCCAAGGCUAAGGAGCCCCCGUCCUGAAAAACACAGUCGACAAUGACCUCAUGUCACUGGAGAGGUGUGGCUCAUCCAGCGCUCUCUCUGUUUGCCUCUGAUGUUUAUGACGCUGAUGUGAUUUUUACAGGCAGAUUUAUGCUUUUGAUAACACACUUCCGAAGGCGGCUACUAAGAUGAAGUUUUGUUCUAGACCAGGUUCCCUUGGGCCCAUGGGGACCUGGCCGAGACCAAACAGACUGCAGUGUGGAGUUGGCAACACCUGCACCCAAGGCUGAGUGAGCAGGGAGAACAGGUUCUGAGGGCAAGGCUGCCCUGGCUGGUUCUGGAAGCUGGCUGGUGUGGACUGGCCAGGCAGGCCUAGGUGGGACAAGCGUAAGCAGAGAAUUCCUCGAUCUCAGCUCACCCCCCACCCACCCACCCCUGCCCCCCAGAGAGCUGGGCAAGGC
rnacentral:lncRNA from 1 species